rnacentral:rRNA from 1 species
GACGAACGCUGGCGGCGUGCUUAACACAUGCAAGUCGAACGGAAAGGCCCUGCUUUUGUGGGGUGCUCGAGUGGCGAACGGGUGAGUAACACGUGAGUAACCUGCCCUUGACUUUGGGAUAACUUCAGGAAACUGGGGCUAAUACCGGAUAGGAGCUCCUGCUGCAUGGUGGGGGUUGGAAAGUUUCGGCGGUUGGGGAUGGACUCGCGGCUUAUCAGCUUGUUGGUGGGGUAGUGGCUUACCAAGGCUUUGACGGGUAGCCGGCCUGAGAGGGUGACCGGCCACAUUGGGACUGAGAUACGGCCCAGACUCCUACGGGAGGCAGCAGUGGGGAAUAUUGCACAAUGGGCGGAAGCCUGAUGCAGCAACGCCGCGUGCGGGAUGACGGCCUUCGGGUUGUAAACCGCUUUCGCCUGUGACGAAGCGUGAGUGACGGUAAUGGGUAAAGAAGCACCGGCUAACUACGUGCCAGCAGCCGCGGUGAUACGUAGGGUGCGAGCGUUGUCCGGAUUUAUUGGGCGUAAAGGGCUCGUAGGUGGUUGAUCGCGUCGGAAGUGUAAUCUUGGGGCUUAACCCUGAGCGUGCUUUCGAUACGGGUUGACUUGAGGAAGGUAGGGGAGAAUGGAAUUCCUGGUGGAGCGGUGGAAUGCGCAGAUAUCAGGAGGAACACCAGUGGCGAAGGCGGUUCUCUGGGCCUUUCCUGACGCUGAGGAGCGAAAGCGUGGGGAGCGAACAGGCUUAGAUACCCUGGUAGUCCACGCUGUAAACGGUGGGUACUAGGUGUGGGGUCCAUUCCACGGGUUCCGUGCCGUAGCUAACGCUUUAAGUACCCCGCCUGGGGAGUACGGCCGCAAGGCUAAAACUCAAAGGAGUUGACGGGGCCCCGCACAAGCGGCGGAGCAUGCGGAUUAAUUCGAUGCAACGCGUAGAACCUUACCUGGGUUUGACAUGGAUCGGGAGUGCUCAGAGAUGGGUGUGCCUCUUUUGGGGUCGGUUCACAGGUGGUGCAUGCCUGUCGUCAGCUCGUGUCGUGAGAUGUUGGGUUAAGUCCCGCAACGAGCGCAACCCUUGUUCACUGUUGCCAGCACGUUAUGGUGGGGACUCAGUGGAGACCGCCGGGGUCAACUCGGAGGAAGGUGGGGAUGACGUCAAGUCCUCAUGCCCCUUAUGUCCAGGGCUUCACGCAUGCUACAAUGGCUGGUACAGAGAGUGGCGAGCCUGUGAGGGUGAGCGAAUCUCGGAAAGCCGGUCUCAGUUCGGAUUGGGGUCUGCAACUCGACCUCAUGAAGUCGGAGUCGCUAGUAAUCGCAGAUCAGCAACGCUGCGGUGAAUACGUUCCCGGGGCU